AUGAUUAAAAGGCAAGUCUUCCGAAAGGUUGAUACGCAAAGCCGUGAAUCUAAAGUAGUAUGCUGCCAAGAUUGUCUGGUUACCAUG
rnacentral:ncRNA from 1 species